UUCUCCGUCCUGCGAACUGGCCUCUGCCAUCCCCGUUGCCAAAACAACUCUUCCUUCGUUCAGUGUCGAACUAUCGAUGCGGCCGACCCGCGCGGCGUCGCGUGGGGGAUGGGCGUUAUACGAGCUGUACAGGACAACGAGCCGCGUGGCGGCGCCGGCAGUGCUAUUGUGGCGGCGACUGCAAGGGCUGGAGCACCCGACGCGGUGGCCGGAGCGGCUAGGACGGCCGUCCGCGGCGCGGCCUCGGCCGGGCUCUCCGCUCGUGUGGUUUCAUGCCGUAUCCCUUGGCGAGGGAAUGGCCGCGCUUCCCAUUGUUCGCCACUGCGUCCGCCUCCGUCCCGGCCUCCCCGUGCUUUUCACCACCACCACCCUCUCCUCGUCCGAAGUUAUCAUGGAUCUACUCCCUGAUGGUGUCAUAUAUCAGUUUGCUCCUCUUGACUGUCCUACUGCAAUAGAUAGUUUUAUUGGAUACUGGAAGCCAAGUUUGGUACUUCUUCUGGAAAGUGAACUCUGGCCAAACCUCAUCAUGUCUGCAGCAGCAAAAGGGAUUGCAGUGGCUCUUUUAAAUGCACGCAUAUCAUUGAAAUCCUUCAACCACUGGUCGAUGCCUCUAAUGUUCCCAUUAGUUUCUUUGAUGCUCUCUAAACUAUCACUUGUUGUCCCAUUGAGUACUAUUCAAGCUGUUCGUUUUCAGCUGCUACAUACACCACCAGGAAUCAUACAUUUUGCUGGAGAUUUAAAAUAUGCUGUUGGAGAUGUUAAUACCGGGGAGAAUCAGGUCAAGGAAAUAAAAGAUUUGCAACGGCAGUUUAGCAAUAGGCCCCUCUGGAUGGCUGCUUCUAUUCACAGAGGUGAAGAAGAAGUCAUCCUCCGCAUUCAUGAAGAGUUGGUCAACGUGUAUCCCGUUCUACUACUAAUUCUUGUGCCAAGACAUCCUGAAGACUGUAAGAAUAUUUCCUUGGCACUAAAGAAACAGAAGGUCAAUUUUGUGCUGAGGUCAACUAGGGAAGUGGUCUCUUCAAUCACUAGGGUAUAUAUGGUUGAUACUUUAGGGGAAUUAAGAAUGCUUUACAGGGUCACCCCAAUUGCAGUUGUUGGUGGUUCAUUUCUACCUGGCUUAGCCGGCCAUAAUUUUUCUGAGGCUGCUGCCGCUGGUUGUGCUGUUAUGACUGUGAACUCUGGCAUGCAGGACCCCACGUUGGACACUUCUACCAUAUGCUGGUCGAAAUGUGGCAAAUAAAUCCUUUAGCUGUCAAGCAGAGUGUUCUUUUAUUCAUUCAGGUGUCAGGAGAAUUUGAACUGCUGCAAACACUAAAAGAACUGCUUGGUGAUGCCAGCACUCUGGGAGCACGUCAAAGAGCUGCAAAAGAUGCAUUUUCGAUUAUGUCAGAUGGAGUUGUGAACCGUGUAUGGGAUUUAGUCUGCAGGCUGGGCAUUGAUUCCCAAACAAAUACGUUGAGCAGUUGACUUAGCUGAGGCUUAUUCUUGUAAUCUCUGUGGAGUGGAAAUGCACAGGGAGACUGAAACCAAAAACCGGCGAUUGUGGCAUGCUGGCGACCUGGUGAGUGGUGAGUGGUGACAAAGGACUAAGCUCACAUGAUAGAACAUAUAUCCACGUCAUUUGCUCGACUUGCUCCUGUCGGAAAUUUAGAUAUAUUCCAUAAAAAUCCUUUGAGAUGUCUGUCAUCUUUUCAUUUCCUUGUAGCAUGGAUAUGAUAUAUUUUGUCAUUCCUUAGUGCCAGCCAGCAGAUGAUGUUUUGCAGUGCCUUUUCCUUUGUUAAAUUGGCACAUUCAAGGCUCCAGGAAUUUCAAGGGCCAUGCCAAUUUUAGGGUUAGAUGUGAACUGUUAAAUGCAUAUGACAUGCUUUUUCAGGCGUGAUAUGUGUGAUUGAUGUUCUUUUC